GUGGGGGUAGCAAAGCCUGGUCAAAUGCGCAGGACUUAAGAUCCUGUCCUUUAGUAGGUUCGAGGGUUCAAAUCCCUUCCCCCACA
rnacentral:tRNA from 1 species